rnacentral:rRNA from 1 species
UACGUAGGGUGCAAGCGUUGUCCGGAAUUAUUGGGCGUAAAGAGCUCGUAGGCGGUUUGUCGCGUCGAAUGUGAAAACCCGGGGCUCAACUCCGGGCCUGCAUUCGAUACGGGCAGACUAGAGUUCGGUAGGGGAGACUGGAAUUCCUGGUGUAGCGGUGAAAUGCGCAGAAUAUCAGGAGGAACACCGGUGGCGAAGGCGGGUCUCUGGGCCGAUACUGACGCUGAGGAGCGAAAGCGUGGGGAGCGAACAGG